rnacentral:rRNA from 1 species
AGAGUUUGAUCAUGGCUCAGAACGUACGCUGGCGGCACGCCUAACACAUGCAAGUCGAACGAAGUAGCAAUACUUAGUGGCAGACGGGUGAGUAACAUGUAGGUAUCUGCCCUUUGGCCUGGAAUAACACGAGGAAACUUGUGCUAAUACCGGAUAAGUCUUUACGGAGAAAGCUUUAUGCACCAUUGGAUGAGCCUGCACUUGAUUAGUUUGUUGGUGGGGUAAUGGCCUACCAAGACUGUGAUCAAUAGCUGAUUUGAGAGGAUGAUCAGCCACAUUGGGACUGAGACACGGCCCAAACUCCUACGGGAGGCAGCAGUGGGGAAUCUUGCACAAUGGAGGAAACUCUGAUGCAGCGAUGCCGCGUGAGUGAAGAAGGCCCUUGGGUUGUAAAGCUCUUUCGUCGGGGAAGAAAAUGACUGUACCCGAAUAAGAAGGUCCGGCUAACUUCGUGCCAGCAGCCGCGGUAAUACGAAGGGACCUAGCGUAGUUCGGAAUUACUGGGCUUAAAGAGUUCGUAGGUGGUUGAAAAAGUUAGUGGUGAAAUCCCAGAGCUUAACUCUGGAACUGCCAUUAAAACUUUUCAGCUAGAGUAUGAUAGAGGAAAGCAGAAUUUCUA